rnacentral:lncRNA from 1 species
GGCCGAAGGAGUUUCUUAAAAACAGAGUACUGAAACUGUUUAGCAACAGGAAACGAGACAAGGGAAUGUACACGCAUGGAUGUUGCUGUGCUCGUAUUUCUGCUGAUAAUACCAGAUCCCCACCGUGUAGAAAUGAAAGUAUUUCUGGGGUUUGAUCUGGAGUCCUCUGAAGUCGGAGAAAGACUCUUUCCUCAAAGUGAUCCUGUAGCAGUUAGUACUGGACUGAGAGAGGCUUAAUAAUUUACAGAGCAAAAUUCCCACUGCUGUCUGUUUGUUAUUCAAACAUGCUCUGAGCUGAGGGGUGCAGGGAGACAUCCACAAAUAGAGAUUGCCUUGACUUCAGUACAGAAGCUGGAGCUGGAGGUUGCUCAGCUGAUGGCUUCCUUCCCGUCGACUCUGACUGCCUGACUCCUUAAAGCCUUCCCAUGGGUUUUGCCCACAUUCCCAGCACUGGUGUGGGAUCCAUGCAGCCUGAUGUGCACGGGGCUUUGUGCUCUGAGUGAUGCUCAUGUCUGUGCCGGGAGAGCUGCUGCACUGCUGGAGGCAAUGAGGUUUCCUCGUUGCACUGGUGAAGUUAGGUUAUUCAGACAAAUUUGGCUUCUUGUUUGUUUUUAUCCCAAGGAACAGCUCAGCCAGGUAAUAGGCAUCACACAAUCUAUUUCAGUAACAAGCCAAAACCCAAAUCCCAGCUUGUUUUUCUUCCUUCAGGGCUCUUUGUUAGUGUCCAAACAAUGACUUUGAAGCUCCGCUUCCACAGCAGUAAGAGAUGAUCAGUUGUGUUUUUCAAAGUAUUCUUUUUUCCUUAUUUAUAUAACCUUGUCACUCAGGUGUAACCUUCCCCAUAUCUUCCUUUAAUAAACAG